ensembl:lncRNA
CUAAAUUGACAGCUCGGGAGAAUUUGAGAUAGAAGCUAAAUAUGGUACAUUUGGACACUAUUUUCCUAAGCCUAGAAUGACUGGAAGACUUUAACAAGCAAAUACACUGUGGGUAUGUGGGUACAGUCUUGACUAAUACAGGAAUCUGUUUGAUCAUCCAUACCAUAACUAUAAUAUGCAUCUGUAAAAUACAUACUUCAGCUAGUGUUGUAAACUUAAUGAGUACUUCUAAAACAUUCUGCAACCCUAAGAAGGAGCGCCUGAUGUUACAUGAGUCUCUCGUAUAAGCUGAUCAAUCUACUUGCCUAUGAAAAAAAUAAUUAUCUGAAGAAAAAAGAAGAGCUAGUUUGGGAAUUAUCAUUUUCAGCAUAGCCAAUGAUGGGGGUGUUAUUUAAAAUUCUACUUUGGAAUAACUUUGCUUAGAAAACCAUAGACCUCAACAGUGGCACUUAUAUACUCAGCCAGAAAGAAAUGAAGGGGAGGAUCUUGUUCCUAAAAGGCACACGAAAAGUCAAUGAACAGACCUUGGGCAAAGAGAAGAUUGCUUGCAGUCAUGUGCGCUACAACAGAAAUGAAAUUGCAGACCAAAAUUCAUCGCCAGUGUGCAAGACAAAGUGUCUAUUUUCUAUUUUGGAAAUUUCAAGGAAGGGAUUAAACAUGCACAAGCACUACUUAGCAACAAAACACUGGGGAACCAUACUGUGUGUACUAUAACUUCAUUUCAUAAGACUAUCAUCACAAACUGCCAGUAUUUCAUCACUGCCAAGAUGUCUUCAGAGAAAGACAGGAGAAGUCAAGGAAGUGGCUCUCAAGACACCCCCAAUAAGCUCUCUGCCAUCACUCAAGCUUCCCACAAGGCAAGUUCACCAUCCCUGAGGAUAAUUAAUAAAUUUACUUCUAGACCAACAACCUUUAAGAAAAAACAUUUGCCUAAUCAAGUCAUAAAGUAGGUUUGUUUUCAAUUUUACACCUUUAAAAGUUCUUACUGUUAAACAAACAAAGAUAUAAAUCAGCAACUGUCUUAUACAAAAGCUGCUUGUCAGUUUGAAACAAUGAUACUUGCAUUUCUGUAUUUGUAGACUAAAUGCUUUUCUAAUCUGAUGCAUAAAUCUAGAUUAAGUGCAUCCAAUAGAACUGAUACAAAUUAUCCAUUGGCCUUUAAUUCUGAUCUCUAAAAUAUAAGUAAUUAAUUUGGUAUAAAUAAGAAGUUAUUUACCAGUGAGGAUAGAAGUGAAUAAUUGAUGUACCUGUUCUCUCUUGUACACUGUCUUGGUUCAU